rnacentral:rRNA from 1 species
AUUGAACGCUGGCGGCAUGCCUUACACAUGCAAGUCGAACGGUAACGGGCCUUCGGGUGCCGACGAGUGGCGAACGGGUGAGUAAUACAUCGGAACGUGCCCGAUCGUGGGGGGUAACGAGGCGAAAGCUUUGCUAAUACCGCAUACGAUCUACGGAUGAUAGCAGGGGACCGCAAGGCCUUGCGCUGACGUAGCGGCCGAUGGCAGAUUAGGUAGUUGGUGGGAUAAAAUCUUACCAAGCCGACGAUCUGUAGCUGGUCUUAGAGGAUGAUCAGCCACACUGGGACGGAGACACGGCCCAGACUCCUACGGGAGGAAGAAGUGGGAAUUUUUGGACAAUGGGGGAAAGCCUACUCCAGCCAGCCCGCGUGCAGGAGGAGGGCCUUCGGGUUGUAAACUGCUUUUGUAGGGAACGAAAAUCCUUCUUUUAAUACAGGAGGGUCAUGACGGUACCGAAAGAAUAAGCACCGGCUAACUACGUG